AUUGCACGCUGGCGGCAGGCCUAACACAUGCAAGUCGAGCGGAGCGGCGGACGGGUGAGUAAUGCCUAGGAAUCUGCCUGGUAGUGGGGGAUAACGUCCGGAAACGGGCGAUAAUACCGCAUACUAUCAGAUGAGCCUAGGUCGGAUUAGCAAGUUGGUGGGGUAAAGGCCGACCAAGGCGACGAUCCGUAACUGGUCUGAGAGGAUGAUCAGUCACACUGGAAAUGAGACAGAGGCGAGACUCCUACGGGAGGCAGAAGUUGGGAAUAUUGGACAAUGGGCGAAAGACCGAUCCAGCCACGCCUCGUGUGUGAAGAAGGUCUUAAGAUUGUAAAGCAAUUUAAGUUGGGAGGCGUUACCAACAGAAUAAGCACAGUCUAACUUCGUGCCGGCAGCCGCUAAUAG
rnacentral:rRNA from 1 species